UACGGAGGGUGCAAGCGCUAAUCGGAAUUACUGGGCGUAAAGCGCACGCAGGCGGUUGGAUAAGAUAGAUGUGAAAGCCCCGGGCUCAACCUGGGAAUUGCAUUUAAAACUGUCCAGCUAGAGUCUUGUAGAGGGGGGUAGAAUUCCAGGUGUAGCGGUGAAAUGCGUAGAGAUCUGGAGGAAUAACGGUGGGGAAGGCGGCCCCCCGGACAAAGACUGACGCUCAGGUGCGAAAGCGUGGGGAGCAAACAGG
rnacentral:rRNA from 1 species